rnacentral:rRNA from 1 species
GACGUAGGGCGCGAGCGUUGUCCGGAUUUAUUGGGCGUAAAGAGCUCGUAGGCGGCUUGUCGCGUCGACUGUGAAAACCCGCGGCUCAACGGCGGGCCUGCAGUCGAUACGGGCAGGCUAGAGUUCGGUAGGGGAGACUGGAAUUCCUGGUGUAGCGGUGAAAUGCGCAGAUAUCAGGAGGAACACCGGUGGCGAAGGCGGGUCUCUGGGCCGAUACUGACGCUGAGGAGCGAAAGCGUGGGGAGCGAACAGG